GUGAUGCCUCAGGAAGUAAUGCCUACUCAUAACAUGUAGUGCACACGUGACACUUUGUAGAAAAACCUGUAACUAUGAGCUUCAUGCCUCAGCAUGGUGCGCAGACUCAGUGUUUUAACACAUCUGUGCCUUCAUGCUUAUGUCUGAAAAUAAACUAUUUCUAACUUUCCACCCCUGGCUGUGGUGGUGGUGGUUUUUUGGCCUUUGACGUCACUACAGUUUGGGGAGAACUGAUGCCACUUUAAAAGAAGUAAGUUAUUAUUAUUUACAAGUACUUGUCUUUUACUUGUUGAUUAUUGCAUUAUAAAUGUAAGCUGAUUUUUUUCUUUGUCUUUUUAAUGCCCCCUUUCUCUCUUUGCUGCAGCUGUUUUAUAAAGUAUGACAUAACAAUAAGAAAUACUUGGAGAUUAUUUUUUUGCAUGCUGUGUUUUUGCUUGUGCGUGUUAAUAUUAUUAUUUUUGCUUCUUCUGGUUUGUAAAUCACACACACACACACACACACACACACUCCUUUAAUAUUCUAAAGAUUUUGAAAUGGAAAGCUAUGCUGCCCCUCUGACUCCAGUCUGUGCUCAGCCGGCCCCCAUCCACCGGCUUCCAACCAGCCCAGAGUAUGAUACUAGCUGCCAGCUUCCUCCUCCUAAGUCUGUUUUGCCCCUUAUACAACCCAGCUGGGAGGAAGAGGGUGCUGGCAAACCGAGAAUGACUUGGUUCUGUCUCACAUUCACUCUGGCGCCACCUACUGUUGGCCUCCUUGCCUUCUGCCCUAUCAGUUGCAAAGGGCGCCAGCCACCACUGACAUUCCUUCUCUUGGAUUAUUAUUUAUCCCCAAGUGAGUAACUGCAUGUCUACAUAUUCCUGCCUGGCCAUCUUCUUUCAUUUGCACCUCCUUUGCUGCCUCUCUCCCCGCCCACCUGGCUGGACUGAAUUUAGACUGGAAGCACUUGGGGGCAGGGAUCCUUUUUGUUUUUGCUGGUCACUCUGCAAAGCACUGCAUACUUUGAUGUUGCUGUAUCAAUACACCCCAAACCCCGCUUUCCUUGCUGCUUUGUGGCCUUUCAAAUGAGAUGCUAUUAAGUUUCACUUGUGUGGGCUAAAUCCUCAGCAAACGCAGCUUACAGGGAGAUGUUCCUUGUCAGCAGCCAGGAGAGAGAGAGAUAUAUAUACACGCCACCUAACAAUAGCAGAGUCCUGUAGCACUUUUGCUAUUGGGCAAUCCAUUAGAAAAAGUACCGCCAUCUAACAAUGAAUCUUGCAUUGUGAAAUGCCAGGUGUCACUUAGCCUAUUGUCACUUUGGCAAAGGAGAUAGCCUUUUAGCCUGCUAAGAGUGUAUUAACCUCUCUCUGAAAGCCUUCUCGACAAGCCUUGUUGUCACAAAAGCAGAUGAUAAAAGAACGUGCGGAUCCCAAAUAUCUCUUUUUUGCUCUUCAGAUACAGCGGCAUCCCUCCCUGCGGCGAAAGCAGAGCGUGAACAGCCCCUCUUGGGAAACAAAAUAGUCCUCCUUCAUGUUUGACACAUCCAAAAAAGGA